rnacentral:rRNA from 1 species
ACAGUUGGAAACGACUGCUAAUACCGUAUACGCCCUCCGGGGGAAAGGUCAGCCGCUGAAAGAGGGGCCCGCGUCUGAUUAGCUUGUUGGUAGGGUAAAAGCCUACCAAGGCUACGAUCAGUAGCUGGUCUGAGAGGAUGAUCAGCCACACUGGGACUGAGACACGGCCCAGACUCCUACGGGAGGCAGCAGUCGGGAAUAUUGGACAAUGGAGGAAACUCUGAUCCAGCAAUGCCGCGUGUGUGAUGAAGGCCCUAGGGUUGUAAAGCACUUUCAACGGUGAAGAUGAUGACGGU